GACGAACGCUGGCGGCGUGCUUAAUACAUGCAAGUCGAACGGAAAGGCCCUGCUUUUGUGGGGUGCUCGAGUGGCGAACGGGUGAGUAACACGUGAGUAACCUGCCCUUGACUUUGGGAUAACUUCAGGAAACUGGGGCUCAUACCGGAUAGGAGCUCCUGCUGCAUGGUGGGGGUUGGAAAGUUUCGGCGGUUGGGGAUGUACUCGCGGCUUAUCAGCUUGUUGGUGGGGUAGUGUCUUACCAAGGCUUUGACGGGUAGCCGGCCUGGGAGGGUGACCGGCCAAAUUGGGACUGAGAUACGGCACAGACUCCUACGGGAGGCAACAGUGGGGAAUAUUGCACAAUGGGCGGAAGCCUGAUGCAGCAACGCCGCGUGCGGGAUGACGGCCUUCGGGUUGUAAACCGCUUUCGCCUGUGACGAAGCGUGAGUGACGGUAAUGGGUAAAGAAGCACCGGCUAACUACGUG
rnacentral:rRNA from 1 species